CACCCCCCGUGGGCGGUGUCUGUGCGCUCCGGGAGGGGAGCGGGGUGUCCGGGAUCUGCUUGGGAGCCGUGGCCACACUGACCCGAGGGUCUGCGGAUGGAAAUUUGAGACAGGUGCCCAAGAUGAGUACACUGAAGUACAGAAGAGAGAAGAAGGAAACCCAUAUUAAUUUCCUGCAUCAGAAUCCCAGGUACUGAUAUAUUCCACAUUCCUGAGUCUUCCAGCAGCAAAUGAAAAAUAUGUGUCUCUUCCUCCUUUCCAUUUUAUGUUUGCUUUUGAAAGUCAGUGGCACCAAAGAUGUUGUAUUUGGUCAUAAUAAUUUCACAGAAUAUCAAGUGGGCAACAUGAACCUGAUUCUCUCUGUCCCACAUGGUGGGUCAAUGGAACCUAAAGACAUCCCUGAUCGAGAGGUUGGCUGUUGGGAUGCGAAAUUAUCCUCCUGUAUUUUCUCUCAUGACUGUCCUCCUGGAAGUAUUCAAAAUUAUGAGAAAUGCAAAGUGUCUACCAACCAAGACAGGUAUACUAUAGAGGUGGCUCAGACUCUUGCUGAAGAAAUCAGCAAUAUUACUGAUGGCUUCUUCCCACAUAUCAUUAUAAACCACCUACAGAGGUUCAAGAUGGAUGCUAACAGGGAAAAGGAAGAAGCCUCCUUUGGAAUUCCCCAAGCAGAACAGGCCUGGGAGGACUAUAUGGGAUUUUUGACCACUGCAAAAUCACAGAUGUCAGGGGGCCUGAUUCUAGAUAUCCAUGGACAAGCACAUCCUGAAAGGUGGAUAGAACUAGGUUACACACUUUCAAAAUCUUCCCUUAACUCAGGUGUUUUUUCUGCAUCAUGUUCCUCAAUUAGCCAUCUGUCCAAUCAGCUAGUCAAUGUGUCUUCUGAGACCUUGGUUUCAGGGAACAGAAGUUUGGGUAAAUAUAUUGAAGAACGAAAUAACAAUUAUGUUUGUGUGCCAUCUCCAUCCAAUCCUAGCCCAAAUAAUGGGAGCUAUUAUAGUGGUGGAUACAUAACAAAGACUUUUGGUUCCCGUAGUUCUGGCACCGUUGAUGCCAUUCAGCUUGAGCUACCCCAGUGGGUGAGGGCAGCUGAAGAACGUCCCAGAUUUUGUAAAGCACUGGCAAGGGCUGUAAUGAAAUUCUGGCAAACUAACUACUGCAGCCAGUACAAGAAUGAAUUUCUGCCAUGCUGAAAGAGGUUGUGUUGUUAAGGUACCUUUCCUUAAUUCAGUAAUGAUUUGGAUUAACAGAUCAACUCAUUCACCUGGAACAUUUAAGCCUGCAACAUAAUUGUGGAUGCUGGUGGAAAGAAACUAACCUGCAAAGGAAUACAGAGACAUUGACAUAGAGAAAAUCCACAGCUAAUACCAACAAGUCCAUUAACACACAGCUUUGUACUAGAUCUAGCAUUGAAAAGACUGCUAUAAGUGGGUAUAUUUGGAAGUAUUUCUGUGUUUAAUUUCUUUCCAGUGUCAUCCUCUAUUCUCUAGCACAUAAUAAACAACUAAUCCUCUAAUGAA